rnacentral:rRNA from 1 species
ACACGUAGGGGGCGAGCGUUGUUCGGAAUUACUGGGCGUAAAGGGCAUGUAGGCGGUCUUGUAAGCUUGGCGUGAAAGUCCAUGGCUCAACCAUGGGAUUGCGUUGAGAACUGCGAGGCUUGAGUGACGGAGAGGGAGCUAGAAUUCCUGGUGUAGGGGUGGAAUCUGUAGAGAUCAGGAAGAAUACCAAUGGCGAAGGCAAGCUCCUGGCCGAUGACUGACGCUGAGGUGCGAAAGUGUGGGGAUCAAACAGGAUUAGAUACCCUGGUAGUCCACACUGUAAACGAUGUGCACUAGGUGCUGGUACGGAUGUAUCAGUGCCGUAGCUAACGUGAUAAGUGCACCGCCUGGGGAGUAUGCUCGCAAGGGUGAA